rnacentral:rRNA from 1 species
UACAGAGGUCUCAAGCGUUGUUCGGAUUCAUUGGGCGUAAAGGGUGCGUAGGCGGCGCGGUAAGUCGGGUGUGAAAUCUCGGAGCUUAACUUCGAAACUGCAUUCGAUACUGCCGUGCUUGAGGACUGGAGAGGAGACUGGAAUUUACGGUGUAGCGGUGAAAUGCGUAGAUAUCGUAAGGAAGACCAGUGGCGAAGGCGGGUCUCUGGACAGUUCCUGACACUGAGACACGGAAGGCCAGGGGGAGCAAAACGGG